GACGAACGCUGGCGGCGUGCCUAAUACAUGCAAGUUGAGCGCUGAAGGCUGGUACUGGUGCCAACUGGGUGAGCAGCGAACGGGUGAGUAACGCGUGGGGAAUCUGCCUGUGAGCGGGGGACAACAUCGGGAAACGAAUGCUAAUACCGCAUAAAAACUUUAAACACAAGUUUUAAGGGUGAAAGACGCAAUUGCAUCACUCAAAGAUGAUCCCGCGUUGUAUUAGCGAGUUGGUGAGGUAAAGGCUCACCAAGGGGAUGAUACAUAGCCGACCUGAGAGGGUGAUCGGCCCCAUUGGGACUGAGACACGGCCCACACUCCUACGGGAGGCAGCAGUAGGGAAUCUUCGGCAAUGGACGAAAGUCUGACCGAGCAACGCCGCGUGAGUGAAGAAGGUUUUCGGAUCGUAAAACUCUGUUGGUAGAGAAGAACGUCGGUGAGAGUGGAAAGAGCAUCAAGGGCGGGAACCUACCAAGAAAGGGCCGGCUACCUACGU
rnacentral:rRNA from 1 species